UACAGAGGGGGCAAGCGUUGUUCGGAAUUACUGGGCGUAAAGGGCGCGUAGGCGGCCUCCUAAGUCGAACGUGAAAUCCCUGGGCUCAACCCAGGAACUGCGUCCGAUACUGGGAGGCUUGAAUCCGGGAGAGGGAUGUGGAAUUCCAGGUGUAGCGGUGAAAUGCGUAGAUAUCUGGAGGAACACCGGUGGCGAAGGCGGCAUCCUGGACCGGUAUUGACGCUGAUGCGCGAAAGCGUGGGGAGCAAACAGG
rnacentral:rRNA from 1 species